rnacentral:rRNA from 1 species
AGUGGGGAAUAUUGGACAAUGGGCGCAAGCCUGAUCCAGCAAUGCCGCGUGAGUGAAGAAGGCCUUAGGGUUGUAAAGCUCUUUCGGCGGGGACGAUGAUGACGGUACCCGCAGAAGAAGCCCCGGCUAACUCCGUGCCAGCAGCCGCGGUAAUACGGAGGGGGCUAGCGUUGUUCGGAGUUACUGGGCGUAAAGGGCGCGUAGGCGGCUGUGCAAGUCAGGUGUGAAAGGCCCGGGCUCAACCCGGGGACGGCGCUUGAGACUGCACGGCUUGGAGUCCGGGAGAGGAUGGUGGAAUUCCCAGUGUAGAGGUGAAAUUCGUAGAUAUUGGGAAGAACACCGGUGGCGAAGGCGGCCAUCUGGACCGGUACUGACGCUGAGGCGCGAAAGCGUGGGGAGCAAA